rnacentral:tRNA from 1 species
GGGACCGUAGCUCAGCUGGUUAGAGCGCGUCACUGAUAAUGACGAGGUCGGAGGUUCGAGUCCUCCCGGUCCCACCA